rnacentral:lncRNA from 1 species
GUGAGUGCGUGUGCUUGUGAGAGAGAGAGGAGACAGACAGAUUUCACCUGUGUACACGAUGGCGAGAGUGAGGCUGAAUUAAUACCUGAUGACUUUGAAGAAAAACCAGAAAGAGAAAAGAAACAUACCAACUUUACUUUGUGCAAUGUAUGUAACAUUCAGCUGAAUUCAGCCGCUCAAGCACAAAUCCACUACAAUGGCAAAUCACAUCAAAAGAGAUUAAAACAACUCAGCAAUGGGACGCUGAAAAAUGACAAUGGUAAGCUUUUCUAAAAAUAUUUUCUCAAUUUUACAUCAUCAAUUUAAGUUAUUUGUGUACCUGCAGAUGUGAGGAUAAAAGAAUGAACUAUUUUUUUAAACCAGGAAAAAUAUUACUUAAAAUUUUUAUCAGCAGAGUACAUUAAAAUACAUCAUUUCUCUUUGAGAGUGAAGGAGAAAUUUUGCAUACUUAAUUGUAUUAGGGUUGUGACCUGCAGAAAAUUUACUAUUUUUGAGUUGUUAGAGUUUUAGAGUUUCUUGAUGUGUGCCUUCAGUAUAGUUAUGUGUGGAAAUAGACAUCCUUUUACAGUGUAUAGGACAGUGG